rnacentral:Y_RNA from 1 species
GGCUGGUCCGAUGGUAGUGGUUAUCAGAACUUAUUCACAUUAGUGUCACUAAAGUUGGUAUCACCCCCACUGCUAGAUUUGACUGGCUUUAA